ensembl:miRNA dre-mir-132-1 microRNA 132
ACCGUGGCAUUAGAUUGUUACUGUAGCAACAGCACCACUGGUAACAGUCUACAGCCAUGGUCG